CCUACGGGAGGCAGCAGUGAGGAAUAUUGGUCAAUGGCCGGAAGGCUGAACCAGCCAUGCCGCCUGAAGGUCAGUGCCCUAUGGGCGUUAAACUUCUUUUGUGCGGGAGCAAUAAUGGUCACGUGUGGCCAGACGAGAGUACCGUACGAAUAAGCAUCGGCUAACUCCGUGCCAGCAGCCGCGGUAAUACGGGGGAUGCAAGCGUUAUCCGGAGUUAUUGGGGUUAAAGGGUGCGUAGGCUGUGAGGUAAGUCAGCGGUGAAAUGCCCCCGCUCAAAGGGGUGAAGUGCCAUUGAUACUGCCUUGCUGGAAUGCGGAUGCGGUGGGAGGAAUGUGUGGUGUAGCGGUGAAAUGCAUAGAUAUCACACAGAACACCGAUUGCGAAGGCAUCUCACGAAUCCGCGAUUGACGCUGAUGCACGAAAGCGUGGGUAUCAAACAGGAUUAGAUACCCCUGUAGUC
rnacentral:rRNA from 1 species